CUUGGAUAUAUGAGGGAAUGGGGCGGGGAAAUGAGGAUAGAGGGCCAGGGCAGUUCAAAGAGAGUCCCACAGGCUGUGGUCAGAAAAUUUCAUCUUAUCCCACAAGCUGUGAGGAACCAGGGAAGAUGUUAAGCUUCGGAGUAUUAAAGUCAGAGUAAUAAACAUGGAAAGAAGCAAGAAGAGAAGGGUGUGCUGUGUUUUGAAAGGCCAGGUUGCAGUGUGGAAGAAGGCCUGGGGAGAGAGCCUCUGAGGUCUCUGGCCUGUGUUGGCUGGGGGGGUUGCAAGAAAAGGAAUUAAAGUGUGGAAAAGGACCAGCAAGCAACACAUUAUGUUAAAAGGAUCAGAACUGUACAAUAUCUCUCCUGCCAUACUUUGUUCACCAAAGUGGUCAAGGGCCCAGCUCAGGUUCAAGAGGGGCGAUAUUUCAGACUCAGAUAUCGGAUGCUGCUAAAGGAAGGUAUGAGGCUUAGAGCUCUGGCUACCACUGUGACUGUGAGUGGGCACUGAUGCUGAUCCACUGAGCAGCAAAGCGUGGAAAGAUAGAAAGAACCUGGAUCAUUGUGACAUCACUGAGCUGUUGCAACCAUCCUGUACCACCAGACCUCUUGUUACCU
rnacentral:lncRNA from 1 species